rnacentral:rRNA from 1 species
AUUGAACGCUGGCGGCAGGCCUAACACAUGCAAGUCGAGCGGAUGACGGGAGCUUGCUCCUUGAUUCAGCGGCGGACGGGUGAGUAAUGCCUAGGAAUCUGCCUGGUAGUGGGGGACAACGUUUCGAAAGGAACGCUAAUACCGCAUACGUCCUACGGGAGAAAGCAGGGGACCUUCGGGCCUUGCGCUAUCAGAUGAGCCUAGGUCGGAUUAGCUAGUUGGUGGGGUAAUGGCUCACCAAGGCGACGAUCCGUAACUGGUCUGAGAGGAUGAUCAGUCACACUGGGACUGAGACACGGUCCAGACUCCUACGGGAGGCAGCAGUGGGGAAUAUUGGACAAUGGGCGAAAGCCUGAUCCAGCCAUGCCGCGUGUGUGAAGAAGGUCUUCGGAUUGUAAAGCACUUUAAGUUGGGAGGAAGGGCAGUAAGUUAAUACCUUGCUGUUUUGACGUUACCGACAGAAUAAGCACCGGCUAACUCUGUGCCAGCCGCCGCAGUAAAAC